GAUGAACGCUGGCGGCGUGCCUAAUACAUGCAAGUCGAGCGGACAGAUGAGGAGCUUGCUCCUCUGACGUUAGCGGCAGACGGGUGAGUAACACGUGGAUAACCUACCUAUAAGACUGGGAUAACUUCGGGAAACCGGAGCUAAUACCGGAUAAGAUAUUGCAGCGCAUGGGGCAAUGGUGAAAGACGGUGUUUCGGUCACUUAUAGAGGGAUCCCAGCCGCAUUAGCUAGUUGUUGAGGUAACGGGCUACCAAGGCAACGAUGCGUAGCCGACCUGCGAGGGUGGUAGGCGACACUAGAACUGAGCCACGGUCAAGGCUACUAAGGGAGGGCGCAGACGGGAAUCUUACGCAACAGGCGAAAGUCUGACGGAGCAACGCCGAGUGAGUGAUGACGGUCUUCGGAUCGUAAAACUCUGUUAUUAGGGAAGAACAACUGUGUAAGUAACUAUGGCCGUCUUGACGGUACCUAAUCAGAAAGCCACGGCUAACUACGUG
rnacentral:rRNA from 1 species